rfam:Salmo salar isolate Sally breed double haploid chromosome ssa01, whole genome shotgun sequence.
UACAAAACAUUUUGUAAGUCGCUCUGGAUAAGAGCGUCUGCUAAAUGACUUAAA